AUGAAGACUCAUCAUCGGAUUGGCAAGGAGAUUCAAGGUUUGAAGAAACAAAUCAUUGAGGUGGGCCAGAGGAAUGCAAGGUACAAGAACCGUGAGGAUUUCUCCAGCACCAGAAAUGCAACUGUUGACCCCAGAGCGCUUGCUAUCUUUGAGCAUGCCUCAAAACUCAUCGGAAUUGAUGAACCGAAGUGUGAGAUAAUAAAAAUGUUGACACAAGAUGAUGGAGUUGCUUCAACCCAACACCAAAUAAAGAUGGUCUCUAUUGUUGGAGCUGGAGGUAUGGGCAAGACAACCCUUACAAACCAAGUGUAUCAGGAGCUCAAAGGGCAAUUUGAGUGUCACAAUUUCUUAUCCGUGUCAAGAAAUCCAGACAUGAUGUGUAUCUUGAGGACUAUUCUUAGUGAAGUUACUGGUCAAAAAUAUGGUGACACUAAAUCAGGGAGUAUACAACAAGUCAUCAGCAAGAUCAAUGAUUUCCUAGCAGAUAAAAGGUACUUGAUUGUUGUUGACGAUAUAUGGAAGGAGGAGUCAUGGGAUGUUCUGAAGUGUGCAUUCCCUUCAAGCAAUUAUGGCAGUAAAAUAAUCACUACUACUCGCAUCAGCAAUGUUGCUCAUUCGUGCCAUUCAUCUUUCCGAGGCCAUAUUUAUAAUAUAAAACCUCUUAAUAUGGUACACUCGAGACAAUUAUUCUAUGGAAGACUAUUCAACUCCAAAGAAAACUGCCCUGCAUAUCUUGAAGAAGUUUCUGACCAGAUCUUGGCAAAAUGUGAUGGUUUACCUCUGGCAAUCAUUGCUAUAUCUGGUUUGCUGGCUAACACUGAACAAACAGAGCAUCAUUGGAAUCAAGUAAAAGCUUCAAUUGGAUGUGCACUUGAAAGGAACUCAAGUGUCCAAAGAAUGAUAAAGAUAUUGUCACUUAGUUACUUUGAUCUGCCUAUUCAUCUAAAAACUUGUCUUUUAUAUCUCAGUAUAUUUCCAGAGGAUUCUGUUAUUGAGAAAAAGGGCCUGAUAAGGAGAUGGAUUGGUGAAGGAUUCAUUCAUAAAGAAGGCAGGUAUACAACAUAUGAGUUAGGAGAGAAGUAUUUCAAUGAGCUCAUCAAUAGAAGUUUGAUCCAACCGGUGGAAAUGACCAGAUAUGGCAAUGUGAGGAGUAUUCGAGUACAUGACACAAUUCUUGAUUUCAUCAUAUCCAAGUCCAUUGAAGAAAACUUUGUUACAUUAGUUGGUGUUCCUAAUCUAACCGUUGGGACACAAAACAAAGUCCGGCGGCUCGCUAUACAAGUGAAAGACAGAGAAGAUUAUUUUGUUCUAAGCGGCAUUGUAUUGUCUCAUGUCCGAUCAUUUAGUUUAUUUCCGGGUCUUGUGGAAAUCCCUUCUCUCAAUGAGUUCAAGCAUUUGCGUGUUCUGGUCCUUAGAGAUUGUGGACAAUGUUAUAACCAUCAUCUUGCCAAUAUAGUGGGGUUAUUUCAGUUGAGGUACCUUGACCUUAGAGAAACAGACAUAACUGAGCUUCCAGAACAGAUCGGACAUUUACAGUGCUUAGAGAUUCUAGACGUAAGAAUCUGUGGGCUACAUGAACUGCCAGCAAGUAUUGUUAAUCUAAAAAGGCUGGUGCAUCUAAUGGUUCGGAAGGAGGUUAAAUUUCCUGAUGGAAUUUUGAAGAUGCAAUCACUGGAGACGUUGGGUGAGGUUGAAGUCUCCAAGGAGCCAUUGAACUUCCUGCAAGAACUUGGUCAGCUCAAGAAUCUGAAGAAGUUGAAACUCAGUUUUGAAUUUGAUUAUGACACUCAACAUGCAGUUGCAAGUAACGAGUGCAAGAAAGCUGUUGCAUCUNNNNNNNNNNNNNNNNNNNNNNNNNNNNNNNNNNNNNNNNNNNNNNNNNNNNNNNNNNNNNNNNNNNNNNNNNNNNNNNNNNNNNNNNNNNNNNNNNNNNUGGGGUGUGCCCCCUUACGGACGGUGCCGCUGCCGGCACCUAGAGGAGGGAAACGGACGCGUCGGGUCUACACGGAGGGGAUCUUGCCGUGGGUCUUUCCUGGAUGUUGCUUCAAAGUGUUCCUAUGGACUGACCUAACACAACCGGGUGGAUAG
rnacentral:rRNA from 1 species